AUUGAACGCUGGCGGAAUGCUUUACACAUGCAAGUCGAACGGCAGCACGGACUUCGGUCUGGUGGCGAGUGGCGAACGGGUGAGUAAUGUAUCGGAACGUGCCCAGUCGUGGGGGAUAACGUAGUGAAACUUACGCUAAUACCGCAUACGAUCUCUGGAUGAAAGCGGGGAUCGCAAGACCUCGCGCGAUUGGAGCGGCCGAUAUCAGAUUAGGUAGUUGGUGGGGUAAAGGCCCACCAAGCCAACGAUCUGUAGCUGGUCUGAGAGGACGACCAGCCACACUGGAACUGAGACACGGUCCAGACUCCUACGGGAGGCAGCAGGGGGGAAUUUUGGACAAUGGGCGAAAGCCUGAUCCAGCCAUUCCGCGUGCAGGAUGAAGGCCCUCGGGUUGUAAACUGCUUUUGUACAGAACGAAAAGGUUUCUACUAAUACUAGGAGCUCAUGACGGUACUGUAAGAAUAAGCACCGGCUAACUACGUGCCAGCCGCCGCCGUAA
rnacentral:rRNA from 1 species